GAUGAACGCUGGCGGCGUGCCUAAUACAUGCAAGUCGAGCGAACGGACGAGAAGCUUGCUUCUCUGAUGUUAGCGGCGGACGGGUGAGUAACACGUGGAUAACCUACCUAUAAGACUGGGAUAACUUCGGGAAACCGGAGCUAUACCGGAUAAUAUUUUGAACCGCAUGGUUCAAAAGUGAAAGACGGUCUUGCUGUCACUUAUAGAUGGAUCCGCGCUGCAUUAGCUAGUUGGUAAGGUAACGGCUUACCAAGGCAACGAUGCAUAGCCGACCUGAGAGGGUGAUCGGCCACACUGGAACUGAGACACGGUCCAGACUCCUACGGGAGGCAGCAGUAGGGAAUCUUCCGCAAUGGGCGAAAGCCUGACGGAGCAACGCCGCGUGAGUGAUGAAGGUCUUCGGAUCGUAAAACUCUGUUAUUAGGGAAGAACAUAUGUGUAAGUAACUGUGCACAUCUUGACGGUACCUAAUCAGAAAGCCACGGCUAACUACGUG
rnacentral:rRNA from 1 species